AUCUUCCCUUCUCUCCCUCUUUUUGCAUACAUCUUAGAAGAGCUCAUACUUUAUCUGUUUCUCAUGUGACUUUGCCUUUCUCAACUUCUUCUCAAUCAUUUAUUUCCAUUUCCCUCAACAUACAAAUUAUGGGUUUGAACUUUGAAGAAUUUGGGAUGUUCUUUCAAACAAAGAAGUGAUAGAUAUUAUAGAAUCUGCCCUAGCUUGUUCGUCUGCUGCUCGAACCUUGCUUCAAACAGCAGUUCGAGCAUGGAGAUACAAAUAUCUGACUUCAAAAGCUGAUGACUGUGCUGUUGUAAUAAUAAGGUUUUCUGUUGCGACGCAUGAAUUAUGAAAGGUAGAGAAAGAUGAGAAAAUUAUGACUGUGAUGUGAUGUUGUAUUAGUUAAAAAAUGGGAUUUCUUGGAAAUUUUCUGGUUAAGUGACAUCUUGAUUGCA